GACGAACGCUGGCGGCGUGCUUAACACAUGCAAGUCGAACGGUAAGGCCCUUCGGGGUACACGAGUGGCGAACGGGUGAGUAACACGUGGGUGAUCUGCCCUGCACUUCGGGAUAAGCCUGGGAAACUGGGUCUAAUACCGGAUAGGACUCCUGGCUUCAUGGUUGGGGGUGGAAAGCUUUUGCGGUGUGGGAUGGGCCCGCGGCCUAUCAGCUUGUUGGUGGGGUAAUGGCCUACCAAGGCGACGACGGGUAGCCGGCCUGAGAGGGUGACCGGUCACACUGGGACGGAGAUAAGGCCUAGACUCCAACGGGAGGCAGCCGUGGGGAAGAUUGCACAAUGGGCGCAAGCCUGAUGCAGCGACGCCGCGUGAGGGAUGACGGCCUUCGGGUUGUAAACCUCUUUCAGCACCGACGAAGCGCAAGUGACGGUAGGUGCAGAAGAAGGACCGGCCAACUACGUGCCAGCAGCCGCCGUAA
rnacentral:rRNA from 1 species